GCUAGCUUACGGCGCAUUUAUUACUUGUGCAGGGCCUCCAUGCUAGUGACAAGACUUGACCUUUAUGCUUAUGACAAACGUUCCAUCAAUCAUUCGAAUAAGAUCUGUGCAGGCGAUCUCUUGGGAGAAGUGACCAUUGAGGAUGUUUCCUUGUAGUUCAGAGGCUCGCGCAUCAGCUUCGGGGCUUCGGCCAUUUGUCAUGAUACUUCCACUUGAGGGCCUCAGCUGCUCUCAACAGGUUCCAGCAGCCUGGCUUCGGGUCGUAGGCCUCGGCCAAUGGGCCUCGAUAUAUGGACUUCGGCUCGAAGCAGUUCGGAUGUAGCCUACCUCGGCAUGGCGAGCCACCUCGACGGGAAUGCCACGUGGAUCACCAUGAGUGGACCAUUGUCCUAGGUAGGUUGGCCAGGUGUGACAACACGCAACAGUUAAGAUUAACAUGGUCACAAAUAAUCACACUACAGAUAAAUUUGGUCAUGAUUAGUCACAUUGAAGUUAAAUUUGGUUACAAUUAGUCAUAGAUAACACAAGUUAAUCACUUGGUUACGUACAAUCACAAAUUAAACGGUCACGAACAGUCACAUUAACGACAAAUUUGGUCACAAUUAGUUACAUGUAACACAAAUCUGGUCAUAAAAAAUAAUUUGGUCAUAAAUCUUGAAGGCCA
rnacentral:lncRNA from 1 species